UAGGGAAUCUUCCGCAAUGGGCGAAAGCUUGACGGAGCAACGCCGCGUGUGUGAUGAAGGUCUUCGGAUCGUAAAACUCUGUUAUUAGGGAAGAACAAAUGUGUAAGUAACUAUGCACGUCUUGACGGUACCUAAUCAGAAAGCCACGGCUAACUACGUGCCAGCAGCCGCGGUAAUACGUAGGUGGCAAGCGUUAUCCGGAAUUAUUGGGCGUAAAGCGCGCGUAGGCGGUUUUUUAAGUCUGAUGUGAAAGCCCACGGCUCAACCGUGGAGGGUCAUUGGAAACUGGAAAACUUGAGUGCAGAAGAGGAAAGUGGAAUUCCAUGUGUAGCGGUGAAAUGCGCAGAGAUAUGGAGGAACACCAGUGGCGAAGGCGACUUUCUGGUCUGUAACUGACGCUGAUGUGCGAAAGCGUGGGGAUCAAACAGG
rnacentral:rRNA from 1 species